CGCCCUUCCUACGGGAGGCAGCAGUGGGGAAUCUUGGACAAUGGGGGCAACCCUGAUCCAGCCAUGCCGCGUGUGCGAUGAAGGCCCUAGGGUUGUAAAGCACUUUUGGCGGGGACGACGAUGNCGUNCCC
rnacentral:rRNA from 1 species